CGUGUAGGCGGUUGGAAAAGUCAGGUGUGAAAUUCUUCGGCUCAACCGGGGGACUGCGCCUGAAACUUUCCGACUGGAGCUCGGGAGGGGCAACUGGAAUUCCUGGUGUAACGGUGAAAUGUGUAGAUAUCAGGAGGAACACCCGUGGCGAAGGCGGGUUGCUGGACCGAAACUGACGCUGAGACGCGAAAGCGUGGGUAGCAAACAG
rnacentral:rRNA from 1 species